rnacentral:rRNA from 1 species
GACGAACCGAGCGAACGUUGUCCGGAUUUACUGGGCGUAAAGAGCGCGCAGGCGGUCGUUCAAGUCGCGUGUGAAAGCCCCCGGCUCAACUGGGGAGGGUCACGCGAUACUGAUCGACUCGAAGGCAGGAGAGGGAAGUGGAAUUCCCGGUGUAGUGGUGAAAUGCGUAGAUAUCGGGAGGAACACCAGUGGCGAAGGCGACUUCCUGGCCUGUUCUUGACGCUGAGGCGCGAAAGCUAGGGGAGCAAACGGG